GAUGAACGCUGGCGGCGUGCCUAAUACAUGCAAGUCGAGCGAAUGGAUUAAGAGCUUGCUCUUAUGAAGUUAGCGGCGGACGGGUGAGUAACACGUGGGUAACCUGCCCAUAAGACUGGGAUAACUCCGGGAAACCGGGGCUAAUACCGGAUAACAUUUUGAACCGCAUGGUUCGAAAUUGAAAGGCGGCUUCGGCUGUCACUUAUGGAUGGACCCGCGUCGCAUUAGCUAGUUGGUGAGGUAACGGCUCACCAAGGCAACGAUGCGUAGCCGACCUGAGAAGGUGAUAGGCCACACUGGGACUGAGACACGGACCAGACUCCUACGGGAGGCAGCAGUAGGGAAUCUUCCGCAAUGGACGAAAGUCUGACGGAGCAACGCCGCGUGAGUGAUGAAGGCUUUCGGGUCGUAAAACUCUGUUGUUAGGGAAGAACAAGUGCUAGUUGAAUAAGCUGGCACCUUGACGGUACCUAACCAGAAAGCCACGGCUAACUACGUGCCAGCCGCCGCAGUAA
rnacentral:rRNA from 1 species